AUGGCAGGGAAGGAGGAAGCUGCUCUGAAACCUGUAUCAUGUGGGGCAAGGUUACGUAGGAGUCGUGAUGCAUCACUAAGAGAAGAAGUGUCCAUGAGGGACCCUUUCUUGAAGCACAGAGUGAAGAAGUUUGAUCUAUCUAGCCUAGAUUGGAUUGAUCAGAUUCCAGAAUGCCCAGUGUUUUCUCCAUCGGUGGAGGAGUUCGAGGAUCCAUUUGUUUAUCUCAGUAAAAUUGCCCCUGUUGCUGCAAAAUAUGGUAUAUGCAAGAUUGUUUCACCUAUAUGUGCUUCUGUACCUGUUGGCACUGUACUUAUGAAGGAACAAGGUGGGCUGAAGUUUACUACCAGAGUGCAGCCUCUCCGUCUUGCUGAAUGGUCCACGGAUGACAAGUUUGCUUUCUUCAUGAGCGGAAGAAAGUACACAUUUCGAGAUUUUGAGAAGAUAGCAAAUAAAGGAUUUGUUCGAAGAUACUCUAGUUCUGCCUGUCUUCCAGCAAGGUAUAUGGAGGAAGAAUUUUGGCAUGAAAUAGCAUUUGGCAAGAUGGAAUCCGUUGAGUAUGCAUGCGAUAUUGAUGGUAGUGCAUUCUCUUCUUCUCCUAAUGACCAACUUGGGAGAAGCAAAUGGAACUUGAAGAAACUUUCUCGGUUGUCCAAAUCAAUCCUGCGCCUUCUCAGAACAGCAAUUCCAGGAGUAACUGACCCAAUGCUGUAUAUCGGAAUGCUCUUUAGUAUGUUUGCCUGGCACGUGGAAGACCAUUACUUGUACAGCAUUAACUAUCAUCACUGUGGUGCUUCAAAAACAUGGUAUGGGAUCCCAGGAAAAGCUGCUCCAGAUUUUGAGAAAGUGGUACGUGAGCAUGUAUAUGAUCAUGAAAUUUUAUCAGGUGAAGGGGAAACUGCAGCAUUUGAUAUCCUUUUGGGGAAGACAACAAUGUUCCCUCCAAAUAUUCUGCUCCAUCAUCACGUUCCAGUUUAUAGAGCUAUACAGAAACCGGGAGAGUUUGUGAUCACGUUUCCUCGAGCAUAUCAUUCAGGUUUCAGCCAUGGUUUUAACUGCGGCGAGGCAGUGAAUUUCGCUGUUGGUGAAUGGUUUCCUCUUGGAGCAAUUGCUAGUCAACGUUAUGCACUUCUAAAGAGGAUACCAUUACUGCCUUAUGAGGAACUUCUUUGUAAAGAGGCAGCACUUCUUGAUCAUGAAUUUUCUACACCUAGUUAUAAAGAUUUGACAACAUCAACUGGAGAUACACACAUUCAGCAUUGUAUGAAAGUCCCUUUUGUGCAGUUGAUGCGGCUCCAGCAUUGUGUCCGUUGGUCACUUAUGAAAAUGGGUGCUCGCACGCACUAUAAAGCAGAUAUUGAUGCCACAGUUCUCUGUAGCAUAUGUAAACGUGACUGCUAUGUAGCCCAUGUUAUGUGUAACUGCAGAGUUGAUGCAAUUUGCCUUUGUCAUGAGGAAGAGAUUAGGAAGUGCCCUUGCAGCCAUGAUCGUGCUGUAUUUGUGAGAAAAGACAUUAUUGAGUUGGAGGCACUGUCAAAAAAGUUUGAAGAGGAAAAGGGAAUAGUCAAUGCUGUCAGAAAGCAAAUGUCUCGUGGCUCUAGCACACAUUCUUAUUUCAACCGCAUUAGUCACAAUGCUGAAUACUUCCCAUACUGCAAGAUUCACAUAGAUGCACCACCUGAAGUUCAUAGCAUUUCAGAGACACAUGUUUUUGGAUAUGAUCUGAACAAGCCAUAUCCUGAUGCAUCAACAAUAACAUUUUGUUUUGGACCCCAUGAGUAUUCUACACAAAGUGAUGAGUGCACAAGUACUAACAGAAGGAUCUUCGCUAGCUCUUGUCCUGAGAAUGGAUUUACUCCUCAAACCACAAUCAUUAAUGCAUACCCUUCGUCUGCGCCUGAUCAAACAUGCUCUUCUGAAAAAUUGGCUGCAGAAGAUGCUGAUGAUUCUGACUGUGAGGUAUUUAGGGUGAAGAGAAGGUCUGGCAUAACUCCUGAGAGAAGGCAUACAGAAGAUUCAACCAUAACAACUUUCACAGGGAAUCAGGUAUUAAAACGGUUGAAGAAAAUCCAUGCAGAUGACAGACAACAACAGAAGUUAGUGGAAGUAUCCUGUGGCACAAUUGAUCAUGUCCAUACCCAUCAUUCUAGACAUUGUCUUGACUUUAUUUCUGGAAAUGGAGAUGACUCAGUACAUCCAACCAAAUUGAAGAUGUUACAUCAACUAGAUGCAAAUAUCAUGGAGGAUGAAUUUGCCUCCAGCCAAAAACAUAAUGGCUGCAACUACCUAUCUCCAUCUGUAGAGCUUGGGCCAAAGCGCUUGAAAAUUCUUGGCCCAUCAUUUCCCAGAGGGAAUCAUGAGCUGGAAAUCUCUUGUAGAUUCCAGGAGGACAGUGACUUGGCUAGUCACCAUGCUCGAUGA
rnacentral:rRNA from 1 species